rnacentral:rRNA from 1 species
AGUGAACGCUGGCGGUAGGCCUAACACAUGCAAGUCGAACGGCAGCACAGGAGAGCUUGCUCUCUGGGUGGCGAGUGGCGGACGGGUGAGGAAUACAUCGGAAUCUACCUUUUCGUGGGGAUAACGUAGGGAAACUUACGCUAAUACCGCAUAAGACCUUCGGGUGAAAGCAGGGGACCUUCGGGCCUUGCGCGGAUAGAUGAGCCGAUGUCGGAUUAGCUUGUUGGCGGGGUAAAAGCCCACCAAGGCGACGAUCCGUAGCUGGUCUGAGAGGAUGAUCAGCCAUACUGGAACUGAGACACGGUCCAGACUCCUACGGGAGGCAGCAGUGGGGAAUAUUGGACAAUGGGCGCAAGCCUGAUCCAGCCAUACCGCGUGGGUGAAGAAGGCCUUCGGGUUGUAAAGCCCUUUUGUUGGGAAAGAAAACUUGCGGGCUAAUACCCAGCAAGUCUGACGGUACCCAAAGAAUAAGCACCGGCUAACUUCGUGCCAGCAGCCGCCGUAAAAC